UAUUAUUAUUCUGGUUGUUUAAAGAUAAGAUGAUUUUGAGACAAAAUAUCAACAAGUAAGAGCACAACAUUUAGAAUAUUUUAACAGAUCCAAGUUGAGACUGCUGUCAAGGGAAAGAACAGGAAAGGGAAAGGGGAAAAAAAGAGAAGGAACCAGGGGAAAUCUGACAUCUUGGUUGUGGAGUACUGAGUCCUGGAAUCAGCUUCCCCGAGCCUGGACUCGGUUCUGCCGUUUACUUAGUAGAGACAGUAAACAGAAGCGGAGAGCUGUCCAGGACUUGAGUGAGCCAGCAUGCUUCUCAGAUGGAACUCGUGAGAACGGAGAGGUCAGAAGCCUCAAGUGUGGUGGUGAAUUCUCCUGAGGACCUGUGGCGUGACCCCUAGGAUCCUCCUCCCGCAAUAUGGUCCCUGCAGUGUCUUCCUGCUUCUCUCUGUGGUCUCCAGGGAGGGGAACUGGCAAGCCAAGCAGGAGGCUCUGGGAGCCCAGCAUGGCUACCAAGCAGGUUGAAGGGAUUCUAACACCCAAGCACCUCAGAACUCUCAUCUGCAUUGAACCUGAUAGGGCGAGGCUGAGGCAGAUGAGGGGAGGGUUUUGAACAGUGACCAGUCUGCUGCAACUCAGAAAGAUGCUGUGUGACUCUUGUGUCUGUUAUAAACUUGACAAGAUCUGGAAAGUCCAGGAUCCACCAUGCUUCUUGCAUUGAUUGGUUUGUCAGUUGGUCUUUUUCCAUCUACACUCCAGAUAUUCCCAUAGGAUUUGCUCCAGGGGAAGUGGGGAAGAGGAUCCACAUUUACUACGCUUCCCUUGGGCUGUGUGUUAGGACUCAGGCAUGAUGCUGUCCCCUGUCACCUGGCAGGAUGCACUCAGUCCAGGGUCCCGGGGCUGCUAUGUCACUAUAGUGGGUAUGCAGGUGCAAAAGCUCCCUUUAAGAGACAAGCUCCGCCCAUUCCUGCUCUCUUCCACACUUCUUCUGAAGAGGCAAGCAGGCUUCUGUCUCUCUCUCCCUUCAUUUUCUCUUUCCUCCCCCAUUCCCCUUAUCUCAGUAAAACGCCUCACUUAAACUCUGCCCGCAUGGCAUAUUUGUCUCUUGCCCACCAUGAGGCCUCUGGCUCUCACCCACUAGGGUCCUUGUCCUGCAGAAUCAUAUCACAGUGUCUCAAGGGAUCCACACAGCCUCCUAGAAUACUACCAUACCGUCCCAAAAGGACACCAAGGACGCCUGCUUGAGGAAACCUGCCCCAGGCCUCAGUAAGCCAUAUCUGAAACCCACCAUCUACCUACCACCAGAGGCCACUUGCCCAGUAGUCUGCCCGAACCAGAGAAGUGCCAAGAGCCAAAAGGUCCUCUAAAAGGCAGCCAAAGUACACUUCAUAGAUCUGAUGCACUAAAGAGGGAAUGUUUUAUUCAUGGGCCGACUCCCAGGGCCCUGCCCGGACCAUUACUGUUUUCUCUCCUGAAGCAGAGAAGAAGCAAGGGCUAUGAGGUCUAAGUACCUCAUUGCCUCCCAGCGGGGCUUCCAAUAGCAACUGUCUGGUUCCGACUGGUCUGUAGGACAACUCAGAACUGUCUGAUCUAGGUCCCUUCCUAGCUCUCCCUGACACCUCAUCCACCUUGUCAGUAGGAUUGAGGACCUGAUAUACAGAAUUUUAGCUCCAACAUUAAGAGUAAAAGAAAAACAAGUUUAUCUUGAAUCCCAACACUAGAAAUGAAGAAAAUGGAUUGGGCCCAGUUCAGUUUGCAUUAGGGUGGAAAGCCUCCUUUUAAGUAGAGUCUGCUUGGUAAUUUACUGGGAAGAAGUUCCUUUUAAAAGCCCACAAAUACCAUCAAAGUAACAGUCUGUUUUUAUUUUUUAUUUCUCGGGAAACCUGUGGCCAUUUAUUUCUGAUAAGAUCCGUGUCACACAAUAAAUAUGACUGGAGGCCAGGUGAGCACUCUGAUGUUGACCUCAUCUUUCUGACCAGCAGAUGAAACAGCCCGGGGGGCUAUUCGGGGAGAAGGUCAACAUCUACCCUUCUGCUGAGUCCUUCACAGGCUUUUCAAAAGGCUGUAAAGAAAUGUACUCACUCCCGAGAAUAUCCACGAGGGUGUCAGCCAAGUUAAACUGGAAGUUUGCAAGCCCUGGAGACUCCUCUGUCCCAGCUUUCCUCAGAGCUGGGGUUACAGGAAGGGUCAGAGGUCAAGCCAGCUGUCCGCCGCCAUACCUGAGAUGGCACCCGGUCCCUGUUCCGCUCUGCUAAUUGGAGGAUGGAGGAGAAAGUUUACUCAGGCCACAAAGUGCUGUCAAAUGCACUUCUGUCGGAACUUGGAAGCCAGCGAUGUUCAAAGGCCUGGGAC